rnacentral:rRNA from 1 species
UGGGGAAUUUUCCGCAAUGGGCGAAAGCCUGACGGAGCAAUACCGCGUGAGGGAGGAAGGCUCUUGGGUCGUAAACCUCUUUUCUCAAGGAAGAACAAAAUGACGGUACUUGAGGAAUCAGCAUCGGCUAACUCCGUGCCAGCAGCCGCGGUAAUACGGAGGAUGCAAGCGUUAUCCGGAAUGAUUGGGCGUAAAGCGUCCGCAGGUGGCAUUGCAAGUCUGCUGUCAAAGCACGAGGCUUAACCUUGGGAAGGCAGUGGAAACUGGAAAGCUAGAGAGCAAUAGGGGUAGAGGGAAUUCCCGGUGUAGCGGUGAAAUGCGUAGAGAUCGGGAAGAACACCAGUGGCGAAAGCGCUCUACUAGGUUGACUCUGACACUGAGGGACGAAAGCUAGGGGAGC